UCGCGAGAGCAAGCGGACCUCAUAAAGUAUGUCGUAGUCCGGAUUGGAGUCUGCAACUCGACUCCAUGAAGUCGGAAUCGCUAGUAAUCGUAGAUCAGAAUGCUACGGUGAAUACGUUCCCGGGCCUUGUACACACCGCCCGUCACACCAUGGGAGUGGGUUGCAAAAGAAGUAGGUAGCUUAACCUUCGGGAGGGCGCUUACCACUUUGUGAUUCAUGACUGGGGUGAAGUCGUAACAAGGUAACCGUAGGGGAACCUGCGGUUGGAUCACCUCCUUA
rnacentral:rRNA from 1 species